GACGAACGCUGGCGGCGUGCCUAAUACAUGCAAGUAGAACGCUGAAGGAGGAGCUUGCUUCUCCGGAUGAGUUGCGAACGGGUGAGUAACGCGUAGGUAACCUGCCUGGUAGCGGGGGAUAACUAUUGGAAACGAUAGCUAAUACCGCAUAAGAGUAGAUGUCGCAUGACAUUUGCUUAAAAGGUGCAACUGCACCACUACCAGAUGGACCUGCGUUGUAUUAGCUAGUUGGUGAGGUAACGGCUCACCAAGGCAACGAUACAUAGCCGACCUGAGAGGGGGAUCGGCCACACUGGGAAUGAGACACGGCCCAGACUCCUACGGGAGGCAGCAGUAGGGAAUCUUCGGCAAUGGACGGAAGUCUGACCGAGCAACGCCGCGUGAGUGAAGAAGGUUUUCGGAUCGUAAAGCUCUGUUGUAAGAGAAGAACGAGUGUGAGAGUGGAAAGUUCACACUGUGACGGUAUCUUACCAGAAAGGGACGGCUAACUACGUG
rnacentral:rRNA from 1 species